GUGUCAACAUAGAGAAAAAGAGGAGAGAAGUUAAUAGAAUUGUCUUGAUGAUUUAGGUCAAGACUAAUGACAAAAUUUUUAUGGUGAUGGCACUGUGCCAGAUGCCUGAUAUAUGGACAUUUUUAAAAGAGAAGUAUGGUCUAGUACAAGGUCAACAAACUUUUUCUGCCCAGGACCAGAUUUUGCAAAUCAAGAGAGUGUUUCAUGGUGAUCCUGGGACAAUAGCAUUGGACAUCACUUGA
rnacentral:lncRNA from 12 species